rnacentral:ncRNA from 1 species
UACUUAGCUUUGAAGAAGGAAUAGUAGUAUUUAUAUCACCAAAGAGAACUGUUGCAGGGUGAAAAACAGCGUGAAUAGAAUAUGAACUCACCUUAAGAGCUUUAUCUGAAAAAAUCAGAUACGGUAAAAACCGUUAUUUAUUUUGAGUGAAAUCAAUUUUAUUGAUUUAAUUAGAGUGGUACCGCGGAAAGUAGUCUUUUCGUCUCUUAC